rnacentral:rRNA from 1 species
GACGAACGCUGGCGGCGUGCUUAACACAUGCAAGUCGAACGGAAAGGCCCUGCUUUUGUGGGGUGCUAGAGUGGCGAAAGGGUGAGUAACACGUGAGUAACCUGACCUUGACCUUGGGAUAACUUCAGGAAAUUGGGGCUAAUACCGGAUAGGAGCUUCUGCUGCAUGGUGGGGGUUGGAAAGUUUCGGCGGUUGGGGAUGGACUCGCGGCUUAUCAGCUUGUUGGUGGGGCAGUGGCUUACCAAGGCUUUGACGGGUAGCCGGCCUGAGAGGGUGACCGGCCACAUUGGGACUGAGAUACGGCCGAGACUCCUGCGGGAGGCAGCAGUGGGGAAUAUUGCACAAUGGGCGGAAGCCUGAUGCAGCAACGCCGCGUGCUGGAUGACGGCCUGCGGGUGGUAAGCCGCUUUCGCCUGUGACGAAGCUUGAGUGACGGUAAUGUGUAAAGAAGCACCGGCUAACUACGUG